rnacentral:rRNA from 1 species
AACGGCGAGUGAAGCGGGAAGAGCUCAAAUUUGAAAUCUUCAAGGUUCUACCUUGACGAAUUGUAGUUUAAAGAAGUGUUUUCUGUUAGAUGAGUAGCAAAAGUUCCUUGGAAUGGGACAUCAUAGAGGGUGAGAAUCCCGUAUUUGGUUAUUCAUUCUAGCUUUGUGAUACACUUUCAAAGAGUCGGAUUGUUUGGGAAUGCAGUCCAAAAUGGGUGGUAAAUUUCAUCUAAAGCUAAAUAUUGGCGAGAGACCGAUAGCGAACAAGUACCGUGAGGGAAAGAUGAAAAGAACUUUGAAAAGAGAGUUAAACAGUACGUGAAAUUGUCAAAAGGGAAGCGUUUGACACCAGUGUUGUUUUUCCGAAAAUCAAUUACGAAUGGCUUGAUUUUGUGUUGUAUUGACCUUAUCAGCUUUCUGCACUUUUUUCGAGUCUUUCUUAAUGCACUUUUCGGUUAACAAGUCAACAUCAAUUUCUUUUGUUGUAAAAGAGUAUUCGGAAGGUGGCUUUCUUUUCGGAGAAAGUGUUUAUAGCCCUAUACUUCUACAAUCGGAGAGAUUGAGGUCUGCAGCGUAGAUCCUUCGGGGUUAGAUACAUUUGUGCUAAGUUGUAGCUUUUCAUAGACAACUUGUUGACUAUGUUUAGUCAUGCGGCUUACUCGCUUAUGCUAUUUUACCUAC